CGCGUAGGUGGUAGUGCAAGUCUGGGGUGGAAUCCCAGGGCUUAACCCUGGAACUGCCUUGGAAACUGUAUUGCUUGAGUCAGUGAGGGGAGGGUAGAAUUCCUGGUGUAGCGGUGAAAUGCGUAGAUAUCAGGAGGAAGGCCUGUGGCGAAGGCGGCCCUCUGGCGCUGAACUGACACUGAGGCGCGAAAGCGUGGGGAGCAAACAGGAUUAGAUACCCUGGUAGUCCACGCCCUAAACGGUGGGUACUAGGUGUAGGGCUCGUAAGGGUUCUGUGCCGAAGCGAAAGCAUUAAGUACCCCGCCUGGGGAGUACGGCCGCAAGGUUGAA
rnacentral:rRNA from 1 species